rnacentral:rRNA from 1 species
UACGUAGGGUGCAAGCGUUAAUCGGAAUUACUGGGCGUAAAGCGUGCGCAGGCGGUUUUGUAAGCCAGAUGUGAAAUCCCCGGGCUUAACCUGGGAAUGGCAUUUGGGACUGCAAGGCUUGAGUGCGGCAGAGGAGACUGGAAUUCCUGGUGUAGCAGUGAAAUGCGUAGAUAUCAGGAGGAAUACCGAUGGCGAAGGUAGGUCUCUGGGCUGACACUGACGCUCAUGCACGAAAGCGUGGGGAGCAAACAGG